rnacentral:pre_miRNA from 1 species
AAUAGAUGACGCCGUUGACUUUUUCUCACAUAUUUGACCAUUCGUCUUAUUUAAAAAAUUUACGUAAUUAUAAUUUAUUUUAUUAUGAGUUGUUUUAUCACUCAUAGUACUUUAAGUGUUAUUUAUAUCUUAUACAUUUGCAUAAAAUUUUUUAAAUAAGACGAAUGGUCAAACAGUGAGAAAAAGUCAACGGCGUCAUCUAUU